CUAAAAUGGACACUGAGUGGCCCCUUGCCUUCGGAUGGAGGAAAACUGGGAGUCAAGAGAAUUUCUACGAAGGUUAUUCCAAGAGCUCAGUCACGGAACCACUUCAGAUGGACAGAACCCCCCGGCCCCAGUCGCGAUUCUGAAAGCCUGAUCCAAAUUAGUCCUUAAUUCUGAUGCAGACACUCCCGCCGUGGACCCGUUUGAAAACUGCCAGUGGAGCAUAGUAAUUGUCUUUUCCGGUCAACAGUGAUCAUGUCUGACAGUCGAGAAGAUGGCUUGUCCCCUCUCUCCCUACCCGCGCUCCCUGGAACAGGCGCAGAGAAACGAAGGACAUUGAAAAGUUCUGGACUUAAAGAGGCCCUCGGAGGAUUUCCAUAUUCAUGAGAAUGACUCUAGAGUAAUCAGCUAAAAUAGCUUCCCACCUGACCCUCGGGGACGGGAGGUGAAGACGUGAGGGUCGGCCGUUUUGAAGCGCGAGUCCAGUUGGAUUAUCCCCGCUCCGCCUCCCACUGGGCUUUCCGCGGCCCUCAUCUCUCCUUCUUGGGCUGGCACAUCAUUUAUGCUAAAGAACCAAUUAAGUUCCGUGCUACAUCAGCAGAGACCAGCAACGGGGCCGAUUAGCGUUCGGAAACUUUAAGGCCGCUCGACCAGCUCAGUCAGUUUAAGAAACCGAGGCGGUCGGGAGCACAGGAAGGACCUGCUACGAACCAGGGUUGGAGCUCCGGCCCCUUUGGGGAGCGUGGGAGGGUUCGAUUUAAUUAAUCCCAAGAUUCCUCAGUGGUACAUGAGCGGAGAGGCCAGACAGCGGCAGAAGCAGAUAGGGAUGUGAGCAUCAUUCUGGACUUAGAGAGGCCCUCGGAGGAGGGCCUUAAAGAGGCCCUCAUUCAAGUCGGAAAAUGGGCCUCCACAAAUGCGACUCCGAAGAAAACUUUAAAUCUUAAACACUUUCACAAGAGCCCUCUCUCUGAUCCGGCCCACCCCUCUCCCCCAAACCUCCCCCUAUUUCCUCUCUUCCGGAUUCGUAGACUCGAUCCAUCGAUGGAUCCACGGAAUUUCUUGAACUCUUACUGUGUGAAGAACACUGUACUAAGCCCUUGGGAGAGAAUGACAGGAUUGAUUGACACCAUCCCCGUCCUCAAGGAGCUUAGACUAUUGACUCUUCCAGACUAGGACCAAAGGAAGUAGAGCACAUUGUAAAAUCUCACCUCGUAUAAACUCACCUAAACUUCCA